CUCUGCCGAUUCCCAUUUUCUCGCACGAUCUCCACCUUCCUCGCUUCAUCUCCACUGCCGACGUUGAGCUCGCGAUCGCCGGCGCCAUUUGAACCACCGCCGGCCGAGCCUCCCUCUCCCCUCUCCCUUCCGAGGCGUGGAGUCUUUCUUCCUCUCUUCCUUUCCCCUUUCUCUCUCGCGCGUGGACAACCCGACACCGACGGAGAGCGCUCUCCACUCGCGAUCCGGUCUUUGUCGCACCGCCGGAGGGAAAGCGUCGUUGGAUCUCGACGGUACCAGCCAGCUCCGUCUGAGUUGUCGACUCUUCAGCCGUUCUUGUUCGCGGUCGGCAGUGGGUCGGCGUCUAGGGCACGGCGGGGGAGUUGAUUCACGUCGUUCCCGGCUGAUCGAUUCCUUUCGGUUCUCCUUCACGAUCUGUGCAUAGGAGAGUGGUUCGGAUUGUCACCAGCUGGAGUGGAUCGCGCGACAUCAUCUGGAGGCGACUGAUUGAGGGGAAACCAUCGAAUCAGCCUAGUGAUAGAUUUCUUUGGGCAGAGCAUUGGCUUCUUCAUUUCUUGAAGUUGUGGAGGUCUCGGGUGAGGAGAUGAGGGUCUAUUAAGUUUCCGGACAGUGGAGUGUAGCGCUAUUAGGUACUGGAAUUGGCUGCCCUAUCUCAAGGACUUUGAUAUGAGACGAUCAUCACGACGUGGGAUUUAUUUUUAGCACGAUCGACAGAUUAAGGCGGGUAUUUCUUCCUUGACUCUAUGUAGAUUUUAUUGAGCUUAGUGCAUGGUUUUAUGUGAUGGAUUAGACUAUUGUACCUUAUAUCAUAUCCGUUUGUUGCUUUCCUGCUUGAUACUUAUGCUUGAUCUUUGAGGUUUUCUAGUUAUAUCAUAUACAGUCUCUACUCUUGAUAUCUACUCUGUUAUGUUGACACGUGUAGAGUAUGUAUGGUAGGGAUUGACAGGUUGUUUGUAGUAUCAUGCUGAUUGUGUAUAUGACGGGGAUUGUACGUAGGACGGUAUGUGUUAUAGGAGUCAUCUUGUUGACCGUGCAUUUACAUGUGGUGUGUACAUACGUAUUUGUCAUGUACUUUUGGAGGAGUUGUGUUGAUUGUAUAUUUGGGGUAUAUACACCUGUCUGUUG